UGUUCAUUUUAUCUAUUAUAUUUUGUAGAUCGGUGUACUCAAACCAAGGUUGCAUUCUACGGUUUCUUGCGAAGGCAUAUUUGAAGACAUUAACAACAGAACUCCUAAUUAACAAAAGUACACCUUCAUUAUGGCUACCACUGAACACCGAACAUCGUCUUUUAUCGCACCGAGACUUGAUGAGGUUGGUAGCAACUGUACCCUCGGAGGACACGCGACCAUAAUCAAGUUCAUCAUGGAAAAAGAGGAUCUCAGUUAUUUUAGAGCUUCAAUUUUCUGUCAAAGUAGUCUUGUUUCGGUAGCAACUUCAUAGAUAGUUUUAGGCUCACUUUGCCAAACAUAACUGUCGGUUUUAUUACAUCAUCAUGACACACCACAUAUCAAACUGGCGAAAGUUUUGAUCUAGGUGCUUCAGGAAAUUGAAUCCAGUCCGCUCUUAACUUCGCGUAUUUUAUCGUGUACUUUCUUAUGUUUGAUACAAAUAGUGCGGUGGUUUGGUUAUUUAAAACCCUCAAUAACAGGAAUAAAUUUAAAGAAAACAAUACAGUAGUUGGUGGUUAUACGUCUUAAGUUAUUCAAAAUGAAAUAAUUAUUAGGUGCUACACCAGGUCACUUCUCUAAACCAAUGAGAAAAAUUCCUCGUCUUCAAACUUCCGAUACGAUGAACCUUUUCUAUGCCGCCUUGUUUCCUUAAUGCGGUAAAUCUAUCCAUCAUAAGCAUUUGUACCAAAACUGGAAGGGUGUUUAAACGAAAC